AAAAAGAAACACGUACUUAAAUAAUGAUUAUUCAAUUAAAAUAUAAUGCACAAAAGUUACAUUAAAAUUGUACCUAAAUUGUAUCUAAAUAUUUAAAAACAAAUAGUUAUUGAACAUUAAAUGCAAAUGUGUUAUACUUUCAAGGUAAAUACAACUUAAUUGUACUUAGUUAGUGAAUAUUCCGCAUACCACUAGAGGGAGCCCGUGUACCACUAGUGGUACUGAUACCACACCAUUGCCGCUUUUCCAUGACAAGUACAAGAACGGCCUGGCCCCGCUCUGCCCUGGCUUCACUUGGCCGGUCUGGCCUCUGUUGCUUUUCCAUUACAACAGGCACCAAUCACAAGUGGGAGGGAUUGGAGCAGGAUCAAGAAGAAGGUGACACGCUUGUUUCUUGUCACGCCUUCCAUUUCGCUGUAUUUCAGCUUCUGCCAAUAUGGAUAAAAAUGCCCGCACCUCCUCUGUCGAUUUGAUGCUGUGUAUUCAGUAUCUUUUACUUUAUCACAUUCCUUAAACCAUAAACAGAUAGCUUCAUAGUUAAGGAAGAAGCAAGUUGCUGAAGAGUGAGGGAGUUGGCGAGAAUAAAAGCGAGAGUGUGGAUUGAAAGGAGGCUCACUGGCUCCAUUCUUUUGAACGUCCCCAGCAUGUACGUACAUUUGCGUACAUUCUGGUCACAAGCUUUGCUUUUUCAUCAGCAGAUUGACCAGUUGCUGAAAGCGAAAGGACUGCGGGGCAUGGUUGUGGAAACAGAUGUGCUAGCAGCGGAUGCUAAUACUUCAAACAGAAUUCCACAGACGGAGAGAAAAGGCACUUUCCAUCCUGGUGCUGAAUGUAAGUACACCCCAGCUGUACCUGAUAACAAGCUGUCACACUACCAAAGAAGCGUGGGACACACUGAGAGGAGAUUUUGAGAGAGACACACUUGCAAAUAAACUGUUCCUAAAGAAAAAAUACUUUAGAUGUGAAAUGAAGGACGGAAAAAGUUUAACUGAACAUCUAAAACGAAUGAAGGAAUUGACUGACCAGCUUAGAGCAAUAGGUGCUGUAAUUGAAGACGAAGAUCAUAUUGUAACUCUCCUGGGUAGCUUGGCAUCAAGCUAUGUUACAAUUGUCACAGCAUUAGAAACAAACAUGGACCACUUGACACUGCACUUUGUUCAGCAAGCAUUAAUGAAUGAAGAACAAAAGAAAAUGCAAGCUGAUGGUGUUUAUGGUGGUACCGCAUCCAGUGGUCCAUCAGCCAUGUCAACACAAGUUCGGGGAGAGAUGCAACCGAAUGCUAAGGCAGUGGGACCUGACAGAUUCAGCUCAUGGAGAUGUUACAAGUGUGGGAAAGAAGGUCAUAUAAAGUGUGACUGUCCACAAAACAUAAGGAAAAAUAAAACCCACAAGGCCAAAAGUAUCAUUUGGGAAGAUGCAGAAGACUCAUUUGAGAGUGCCUUUGUCGCAAAAGGGACAAAUCAGGAUGAAAUGUCACCACAGGCUCAGUGGUUGGUUGACUCUGGAGCAUCAAAGAUGAAAAGACGACUUGACAUGAAGAAAGUCUUCAAGACUACCAACAUUUUUCAGAGCCACAGUCUGUAAAACUCAAUGAUGGCAUGUUUGUGGAUGCACAAGGAUUUGGCAACAUCAAACCAAAAAUGACAUUGAAAGUAAGUGAUGAAUAAACGUCACAAUGUACGAUGUGCUGUCUGUUCCCAUGCUAUCUGGAAAUAUUUUCUCAGUGGGAGCUGCUAACAGAAAAGGAAAUACAGUGCAGUUCAAGAUAUCUUGUUGCUACAUUCGAGGAAAAAAUGGGAACACAAAGAUCUGAUGGAUUGGAUCAGCUGGACGUCGAGGGAAGUUUGCCGGUGCGUCAUGGUGCAACAAGUGCAUCAGUAGCAGCCAACCUGUAGCAUCAGCGCCUGGGCCACACCAGGAAGUUGAAGGAACUCAAACAUCUGCUAAAUCUGAGUGGAUUUUACUUCAGAAAAAGAAGUUCCCUUCUGUGAAGCGUGUGUGGAGGGAAAGCUUUCAAGCCAGUGGGAGAGAUUGGCUCCCAACGUAAGUUACAGUUGAUCCAUAGUGACAUCUGUGGUCCCAUGCAGACCGAGUACAUAGGUGGAGCAAAGUACUGACUUUUAUUAAUGACCAUACCAGAUGCUGCAAGGUCUACUUCAUUAAACAGAAAUAUGAAGUUCUUAGCAAAGUCAAGGAAUUUGAAAAUACUUUUUGACUCUGGGCAGAAAGUCACACAGCUGAGAACAGACAAUGGUGUAGGAUACACAUCCAAUGUGUUUCAAGAAUACCUGAAGGCUCAAGGUAUUCACCAUGAGAUGACUGUACCUCACACACCUCAGCCAAAUUGUGUUGCAGAAAGGAAAAACAGGACACUAAUUGAAGAUGCUAGAAGUAUGGUGUCUCAUGCUAAGUUGCCAAAGAUGUGCUGGGAAGAGGCUGUAGUAACUGCAGCUUAUAUACAGAACAGGUUGCCUACAUCUGCUCUGAAGAAAGAGACACUGUACCAUAGAUGGAGUGGCAAAAGGUCCAACAUGAGUCACAUCAAAGUGCUUGGCUGUAUUGCCUAUGGCACGUCCCAGAAAGACGAAAACUGGACAAGAAAGCUGUGAAACUUCACUUCAUGGGAUAUGCAAACAAUGCAAAAGGCUACCGUCUAUUGGAUACAGACACAAGGAGGAUUUUCAUUCGUCGAGGUGUCAUCUUCAAUGAAUCAGACUUCGGCUGGAAACAGGAAGGGGAAGUAUCCUGUUCACAGAAUGAAACAUCCAUCAAUACAGAUGAAAAGGGAACACCAGCUGACAAGGCCACUGUCAGUGAAUCUCCAAGACAAAGCAGAAGAAUCAGAAAGCCUCCAAAGAGAUGUGGAUAUGAUGAGUUUGCUGACAUUGUAAUUGACCAUUAUGCUAAUAUGUGUUUUGUUACAGAGCCAAACACACUGAAAGAAGCACUGACGAGUCCCAAUGCAAAGAAAUGGCAGGAAGCGGAUGACUUGGAAUAUGAGUCAGUGAUAGAAAACGAAACAUGGGACUUAGUGACUCUACCAAAGGAUUGCAAGGCUAUUGGAUUAAGUUGGGUGUUCAAAGUCAAGCAUCACAGCGACAGAAGAGUGGAGAGACAGUGUAGACUCGCUGUCAAAGGCUACUCACAGACGUAUGGUGCUUACUACGAUGAAACGUUUUCACCUGUGGUACGAUACAGCUGAUUCGUACAUUACUGUCCUUUGCUGUCCAGAAUAAUCUACAUGUACACCAGAUGGAUGUAGUAACUGCAUUUAUAAAUAGAUACCUGGAAGAAGAAAUCUACAUGGAGCAACCAGAAGGAUACAUCCAAUCAGGUCAGGAACAUCUGGUGUGUAAACUGAACAAGUCAAUAUAUGGACUGAAACAGUCUCUAGGCUUUCAGUUUAUGGAGGAUAUUGGGUUUAAACAGAGCACAUCAGACCCAUGUGUGUUUUUGAGACUUCAACAGAAGCUAGAGAUACUAGCUGUGUAUGUACAUGAUCUGAUUCUGAUCACAGAAUCAACAGAAACCAUGGAUGAAUUGAAACAAGCGCUCAAGAAGCGCUACAAGAUGAAGGGCAUGGGUGAGCUGUCUUAUAUCCUGGGCAUCUCUGUUGUUCAAGACAAAGCAAAAGACUGUGUCUUUCUUCACCAGAAGCAUUACAUUGAAACGAUUCUCCAGAAGUAUGGAAUGUAUAAUCCUACUCCUGUUGUAACCCCUGCUGGCAAGCAGUGAGCGUUGUGUCAAAGUUCAAUGCAAACCCAAAUACUGCACAUGUGACAUCUGUGAAAAGAAUUCUUCGGUACUUGAAGGGCAUAGUGAACCUUGCCCUCAAGUAUGAAUGGUCAGAAUUGGGAACUUUGAUGGGUUUCUCAGAUGCUGACUGGGCUGGAUAUUAGGAUGACUGUUGCUCAACAACCGCUAAUGUAUUCUUACUGAGUGGAGGAGCAGUAAGUUGCCUAAGUAAAACACAGACAACAGUUUCACUCUCAACUGCAGAAGCUGAGUAUGUUGCACUCAGCCAAUCACCUCAAGAAAGUACCUGGUUGAAGCGGUUACUGACUGAUCUUGGAAUGAGUGAUUCACCAACAGUGAUCCUGCAAGACAAUCAAGGAGCCAUCGCAAUCAUUAAGAAUCCCUUGACAUUCACUCACACUACAUUUGUGAGUGUGUCAGAAAUGGGCAAAUACAAGUGCAGUAUUGUCCAACAGUUGAUAUGAAGGCAGAUAUCUUCACCAAGCCACUGACAAGACAAACAUUUGAGCAUCUUAAGAGCGAGAUUGGGCUUUACCCUGUACUGUUUACUGUAAGGUUAAAAAGGAGUAAGUGAAAACUCUUACAGGUUUGAAUGAUCUAUUUCUAUUAUUGACAUGAUUUAUGAUGUGGAGCACUGUUAUUAAUUAUGGAAAUUACUAAAGUGCUUAAAUGUCCGUGUAAAAUUAAGUUGGAGUGUUGUGAAACAGUAAUUUGACACUGUGUUGAUAAGGUGUUAGACUGCUUCCUACUGACUAUUUUUGUAACUGUUCUAUCACCUGAAUAAAAAACACAUUUACAACAAUAGGGGCAGCAGUGGUUUGGCACACGAGGACGCCACCUGGGAUGUCACCUGGCCUGCUGUCACACUUCAGCCAAGAAAACACAGAUUGCAAGCCCUUUGAUGAGUUUGAAAUUUGAGGUUCCACAGUAUCUGGGCAUUAUGCGUGUGUAACUUUGGAAACCCUUCAGCAAAACAACACGAAGUGAUUUAAAAUGUAUACGGAAAAAUGCAGAACAUGGAACAAGAGUCCACUAAGAAUCAAUUUUCUAUGGACUUCAAUUGAUACUAAUGAAGUUGUAUGACAGCAUUAAAACUCAAACAUGCAAGACGACAUGCUGACUUGAAUCGGUCCCAAGAUUUCCCUACAAACUACUAAACGACAGGCAUUGCAUCUCAGCUGCGGAGCGCCUGUCCAUUUGUCUCCGGCGAGUGGCAAUUUCGUGUCGUUAUUAAUUGGUGUGUCACACUAAAUUAAUAUUCACCGUACCUACUAAUGCUGCGUUCACUGGAUGUUUACAUAAUAAAGUCAAUGGAGUUGUUCGUGUGAAUAGACGCGAAUCUGUACUGGGUGAUGUGUAUGAUGCGUUAGAUGCGUCGCGAGUGGGGCGUUCGCUCGAGUUGGGAGAUUUGAACUUCAAGCGAAAUUCGAGUCGUGACAGCCAAUCAGCAUCGAGAAUGGACUAGGUCACACACAGCGUCCUGUACACAUUUGUUGAGUAGAGAAUAAUGAAGGAGGUGACUGUUGCAGUCUGUAGGCACCCUGAGCUGUAUGACACGACAUGUUAUCAGUACCGGGACUGAGCAAGAAAGGAGCAGGCUUGGAAAGUUGGCGUACCUGGUAAUGUAUGUAUGUAUGUAUGUAUGUAUGCAUGUCUGCAUGUGUUUAUUUGUAUAUAUGUCAAUAUUCUAACAGGCAUAUUUGUUAGAACUGGUUUGGUUUUAACUCCUCAUCUAUUAUUGAUUCUUGUGUGCUGUGUUGCUGUAUUUUACUGUUAAUAUUGUAUUACUUUUAUAUUUUUCUUUUUACCAAGGAUGUGUAAGAUGACCUUAAGUGACAUGAAAGGUGGCCAUAAAGUACUUUUAUUAGGUAACCUGUUGAGCUAAAAAUAAAUAAAAUCUCUUAGCCUGUGUAGAAGUUCCUGCUUGACACUGUCUGGCACAGAGGCUGUGAAAGAAAUUCGUACCCACGAUUGGAAUAGAACACAAAGCUUGGAAACAGAAAGUGCACAGCAUAUUUAUGCAAUGUCAUGUAAGUAUAAAAUUAUGAUGUUGAUCCUGUUAAGUAACAUGCAUUUAAUAAUCCUUUUUUUAAGGGAUGUGUUGAGUGUUUUAGGUUGGACUCACUGACUCAGCCCGAAUGCCUGUCAGCAAAUCCGUAAAAGUCACAUGAGUGAUUGUUUAGCUCUACAUUCAUUGAGCAUUGGCUCCGCGAAGCAGUUCAGUUACGGUACCUCUUCCUUUAGGAAUGAUCUUUAUCACCAUGCCCUCCACAGUGACAUGCUCCAAGCCCUUUUCUUUGAUGACUUCUGCAAAUAAACACUAGUGCUAUUUUUAACUAAUACCAAUGGAACCUUGGGGGGGGGGAAGCCCUAGAGAGAAAACCAAACAAAAGCUAAGAACAAGCACUUAACCCUCAUAACAGGCUUAACAUAACAUCACAGCAAGUUGGCUAACAGAGCAACAUUAGGUUUUCCCUGGUAACUGAAUUCAAUGGCAGGAAUUUGUGGUGGGAGGAUCGAUCAAAAUAACGAUAAUAUUGAUACCAAGUCAGUAUUGGUAUCGGAUCGAUACUAGCGUGAUGAAAUCGAUACAGUAUACAGCUCUUGUAUGCACUGCUGCGGUUUCGUCAAGCAGGCGAGACCUAGACUGCUUCUGUCUCAGCGCGGAGCAGGCACACUUUUCUCCUCCUCCCCCUUUUGUGUUUCGAUUUUGUGUCAUCACAUGCAUCUCAAAGCAAGCAAGGCUCGGAUCCGCCCACCCACCAGCACACGGAUAACGCAUCCAUCCACAGAAACACUAAGCAGAAGAAUGGCAGAGAGGAAGAGGAGCGCUAUGUGGCUAUAUUUUCAGGCUGAAAAUGAGACAAUGGCUGCUGCAUAUGAAAAGUGCUUCAUUUGCAGCAGUGCCCGCAACCUAGUCAGCCAGCCACCAGGGGGCGAACGUAUGGUUAAGGCAAUUAAGGCUUCAUUAAGGGCCGGUACCGCGCUCCAUGGCCAACUUCAAAUUCAAAGCUUAUAAUCGCAUUGAUGUCCAAUAUAGAAAUAUAUGAAGCUUUUAUUUUGACGUUGGCCCUCUCAGCAUGUUGGCGGAGAGGUGGCGUGUCACGGUAAGACACUAUUAGCAAUCGUUGUAGCGGCUGCCUUGACUUCAACUUUUCGGCUGGCCUGACCACAGUAAAAAAAUAAAAAUAAAAUAAAAAUAAAAAAAUGCCAGAAGUAAAUAGAGAGGGAAAUCACAACUGUUGAGUUCUUUGCAGUUUGUGACCGUGCAUGACUGACAAAUGGUUGUUUGUUUCUAUGUGCCCUGCGUUUGGCUGGCGACCAGUUCAGGGUGUGCCCCGCCUUUCGCCGGAAGAUAGCUGGGAUAGGCUCCGACACACCUGCGACCCAAGUGAGGAUAAGCGGAACGGAAGACGAAUGAAUGAAUGAAUCUAUCAUUUAUUCUUAUUGAAAGCUUUAUUUUGCACUGGAAACUGUAACAUAUUGUUUGUUGAAAAGUAGUGCAAUAAAAAAAUAUAUUUUUUCCCUUAA